CUGCUCAUCUGUCACCUGACUCAGGUUACUAGAGCAACACCCAGGAGGGAACUGAUGUAAUAAGAGACGGAAGAAUAACAAUUAUAAGCCAGCAGGGCAAAGGGGAAAGCAGAAAGACUACCUGUAGCAAAGAAAGGAAGAGACGCAGACUAUCCAUAGCCUAAGGAAACAUGGUCUGAGUGAUUAUCAGUGCCUGCAAUUAUGUCUGUACAAGAAUUGCCCGUGUGUGCUGCUGCAAAGGAGAAGAGGAAGAGUCUGAUUCACCCCAAGAAAAGGAUCGAGGUGUAAAAGAACCAGUAUGCCAAGACCCACCCAGAAAAAGGGAGACCACUUCCUUUGUAGUACCAGAACGACCCUGUGGAACAUGACAAUAGUGUAAAACCAGUAAAGGUCUAUCCUUGGAAUGGGUUCCUGCGCAGCUCUCCUUUGAAAAACCAGGAUGUCACUCAAUUUGCAAGACCUUCCUCUUGCCUCAUCACAGAGUACUAUGAAGACAGGUUCACAAACUCCCGUCCACGUGGAGACGAACUUGUCCGAACUUCCCCCUGCCUGUGAUAACCUGGCAUUCCUAAAAUGCUGAAUCAGAGUGAAAAGCAAGCAUACUUGCAACCAUUAAAAGAUAUUUUGUAUU